GUUGGAAUGGCCGAGUUGGUCUAAGGCGGCACAUUAAGGGUGUGGGUUUGAAUCCCACUCUCCACA
rnacentral:tRNA from 1 species